GACGAACGCUGGCGGCGUGCCUAAUACAUGCAAGUUGAGCGCUGAAGGUUGGUACUUGUCCCGACUGGAUGAGCAGCGCACGGGUGAGUAACGCGUGGGGAAUCUGCCUUUGAGCGGGGGACAACAUUUGGAAACGAAUGCUAAUACCGCAUAAAAACUUUAAACACAAGUUUUAAGUUUGAAAGAUGCAAUUGCAUCACUCAAAGAUGAUCCCGCGUUGUAUUAGCUAGUUGGUGAGGUAAAGGCUCACCAAGGCGAUGAUACAUAGCCGACCUGAGAGGAUGAGCGGCCACAUUGGGACUGAGACACGGCCCAAACGCCUACGGGAGGCAGCAGUAGGGCAUCUUCGGCAAGGGACGAAAGUCUGACCGAGCAACGCCGCGUGAGUGAAGAAGGUUUUCGGAUCGUAAAACUCUGUUGGUAGAGAAGAACGUUGGUGAGAGUGGAAAGCUCAUCAAGUGACGGUAACUACCCAGAAAGGGACGGCUAACUACGUG
rnacentral:rRNA from 1 species